CUCCUCCCAGCGUCAUCACAUGCACCACACGAACAAAGGGGCAGCGCCCAGCGCGCCUCAGCUCGCCGCCAACCUCACGCGCUCGCUAGGUUGCCGCCCCUCCGUCCUGCACUCUGAUUCGUCCGCCGCCUCCUUUCUUCCAUGCUCCUCCUCUCAUUCUCCACCCAGCCUCGCAGCUGCCUCUGCCUGUGGCGCCGCUACACGACUCGGCCCCGUCAGGCACCACACUGGAGCCCCGUCUGUCUCCUUCCGUGAGACUUCAACUCGCUUGCACCACCCGCCUCUUGCUGCAUUAGGUGAACACCAUGGCCGACCUCUACCGCUCAAGUGCCCUACUCGCCUUGAGAGCCACCUUUUCUUGCCGCGUGCAGCACCACCGACAGUGCCGAUGCUCGCCUUCCUGCCGGUCAUCCACACCUUGCCCUACUACCAAGAUUGUGACUGCUGCUCCGACCCCCUCUAGCACACGCGCACAACCAACACCAUUGAGACACCCUGUCCUCUGCUGCUCGGCCAUCCAGCUGGGCAAGCCCCAGGGCCGGCCCUGAGGGGGGGCAGCAGGGGCGGCCGCCCCGGGCCCCCAACAUCAAGGGGGCCCCUCCCAGGUACACUACGCAAGGUAGCCCACAACCAGGAAUUCGUCGUCCGGCCUUUUUUCUUUCGAUCCCAGCAGCAGCGCAUCGAGCCUGGCCUAGCGUAUGUGCAGGUAGUAGAAGCCCAUGCUUGUUUUUUCCGCUGCCGACGCCCAUCGCUCGCAUCAAACUCAAUCCUUAAUCGUAGCAAGGCAAUCCCCAAUCGCCGCCGCCGACGCCGCAGUAGCGGCAACGAAGGUGAGCACGCAAGUAGGCUUGUCGUCAGGCUCCGGUAAGGAAUGCUUCGUUCCUUUUCGAUCUAAUCUUGUGAGGUUGUAUCAUCGUAUCCGUAUGGAUUUUGAGAUUUUCUGCCCUUUCUCACUCAGGGCAAAAGUUUGCUGUCGAACCGUGAGCAGGAUUUUCCCCUUGUAUUCAGAACAAGGGGCCGUGAUAUUUUUGUUUGAUUAAGAAUUAUUUAAUGGAGCACUGUUCACUCUAGUAGCAAAUCAGGUAUUCCCUCCGUCCGAAAAUACUUGUCAUCAAAAUGGACAAAAAGGGAUGUAUCUAGAACUAAAAUACGUCUAGAUACAUCUCCUUUUAUUCAUUUUGAUGACAAGUAUUUCCGGACGGAGGGAGUAGGAGUAUGUACUAAUCAAUAGGAUGUGUUUAUCAUAGUCAGGAGGCACAAUGUUUUUGUUAAUUCGCUAUGAUUGACACUUGUGUAAUUUAGCAAAUGUUAGCAGCACAAAAUAUGUCGGAAGCACAUUUUGAUUCCGAGUAAUAGAUCAUAAUGGACAUCUUGUAAUUCAGAAAUUACCAAAAUCAGUACAUGACAAAAAUGUGGAAGAUAGAACGCCUACUAAAUCUGAAUGAAGACGAAGAGUUUACGUAGUUGUGUUCGACGAUUGAGUAUUGGACAAUGUCUACUGAAGCAAGAUCAACCACUAAAUUGUGUCGAAUUCUAUAUAAACUUGUUUGUUCAACUUAAUGAUCAAUGUCAUGGUUUUGAUGCUGCAAAACUAUUAUCUACGAGGUGUUGGGGUUGCGUCCCAUUUAGGUUUCAUGGUAAUGUAUACAUAUAUACUUAUUUAAUUUUGGAUGCAUUUCUAGGGUCGUUUUUCGCAAAGGGAGUGUACCUCACCUCUGCAUUUUCAGUGUUUAUUGGUAACCUUUCACGUAUACAUAUGUUAAAUAUGAUUUCGAUGUCUACAUUAAAGGGCCCCCACGUUAUAGUUUCGCCCCAGGCCCCUGUAUUCUCAGGACCGGCCCUGGCAAGCCCCAUGCUUAGCCACCCGAGGUUUUGCCAAGGAUUGCGGGUUGAGUACUAAAAAAUGCAGGGUCCUUUUUGUAAGAACAAAACAUUUUCCAGAUCCACUUAAAAAGGGAUUGCGGGUUGAAUUAUCAGAAAACAUAAGGACUUUUUCAUAAAACGGGCGCGACGGUGAGCCCGACAGACUCAAUGUGUGCUUUAUUAGUAGGUAAAGAUUAUUGUCUUGUUGCAUACGUGAAUGUACCAAAGACUACAAUAUUUCAUAUGCGCCUGGAUUGUGAUAUUCCAACAUGGACAAUGUGAAGAAAUGAGUGACUUGUUAUCUACAUGCAUGCCAUAUCCUGUAAACUGAAAAUUUUAGCAAUCAGCCACCAAAAUGAAUGCAUGGCUUAAUUCUAUAAUUUCUUCAGAAAACUCUAGUAGUAGAAAUAGUUUUUUGUCAUGUGUUUGUCCAAGUGGCAUAUGUCAAGGUCGUUGUAACUUGGUUUAGUGGUUUACGUGCUUUUGAUCCUCGUAUCUUUAUUGUGAUGUGGCAAGCUGUAAUUAGUGGUUAACUAGUGCCCAUUUCUUGUCAACAAAUAUUUUCAUUAAAUCUGUUAUUUUCUUGCCAAGGCAUCUGGAAUAGCUGCAUUAGAUGUGAAAAAGCUCAAAGAUGCCAGUCUCUACACAGUAGAGUCUCUGGCUUACACUCCAAGAUCUUUUGCGAAUCAAAGGAAUCAGUGAGGCCAAAGUUGAGAAGAUAAUUAAGCAUCCAGGCUUGUUCCGCUGGGAUUUACAAGUGCCAACCAACUACAUGCACAGAGGCUAGAGAUCAUUCAAGUUAGAACUGGAUCAAGGGAGCUUGAUAAGAUCUUGGAUGGUAAUGUGCUACCAGCUUUAUGCUUUUUCCCUUUCUCAGCAUAAUUUGAUAAAUGACUUGUGAUCCAUUGAGUAUCAGAUCUUACCUACCUUUAACAGGGGGAUAGAAACAAGAUCUAUCACAGAGUUAUAUGGUGAAUUCCCCUCAGGAAAGACUUAGUUGUGCCACACUGUGUUGUUACAUGCCAGAUGAGACUUCAUUUAUUGUUUUUUUAUUUGCAUUGACACCUAAGUCUUGUUGUUAAUCUCUCAUAUGUUAAACAUGAUAUAUUUCAGCUUCCAUUGGACCAGGGUGGUGGUGAAGGAAAGGCUCUCUACAUUGACGGAGAGGGGACAUUCAGACCUCAGAGGCUCCUCCAGAUAGUAGACAUGUGGCACCUUUGGUUACACUAGUUACUUUGGUUCUUAGCAUGAAUUUUAUUAAUAAGCAAGUGAAUACUAGAUUCUAGGUUGGUUUUAACAUGAAUUUGAUUACUAAGCAAAUGAAUAUUGGAUUCUAGGUUGGUUUUAACAUGAAUUUGGUUAUUAAACAAGUGACUACUGGACUCUGGGUUUGGAUUGAACGGUGCUGAUGUAUUAGAGAAUGUGGCUUAUGCCAGGGCUUACAAUACUGAUCAUCAAUCCAGACUUCUACUGGAUGCAGCUUCCAUGAUGAUAGGGACGAGGUUUGCUCUUAUGAUUGUUGACAGUGCCACAGUUCUAUACAUAAUUGAUUUCUCAGGUAGAGGGGAACUAUCAGCGAGGCAAAUGCAGAGGGCCAAGUUUCUAUGGAGUCUUCAAAAAUUAGCCGACGAGUCUGGAGUUGCUGUGGUUAUCACGAAUCAGGUAGAGGCACAAGUGGAUGGCUCUGCCAUGUUUGCGGGGCCACAGGUGAAUCCUAUCGGUGGGAACAUCAUGGCGCAUGCUUCCACAACCAGGCUUGCUCUUCGCAAGGGAAGAGGCGAAGAGUGAAUCAGUAAAGUAAUCAGCUCCCCUUGCCUAGCUAAAUCCGAAGCAAGGUUCCAGUUAUCAUCUGAAGGCAUUUCAAAUGCCAAGGACUGACUAAUACCAUCUCUGUCUCUCCUCCAGCUCCCUCACAUUUGCAAAUAUGUUCAUCUCCAUUCUAUUUUGAUGGCUUAGUGGAUGCACAUUUUUGUUGUGAGCUUGCAGAGUGUUGCUGUUGUACAAAACAAGGCUGUCUCUCGCGCAUUGCAUGUGAUGUAAUGUGUAACUCACCAUCUUUCAAAUAUAUUGAAUGGAUGAUGCUUUUUUUUUUUGAAAAUGAUAAAGGCAAAGGUGUCCCG
rnacentral:rRNA from 1 species